GUGUUUGCACUAUCGGGCUUCAAGCGGGCGUGCCAGUGCCUGCCGAGGCCUGUCGCGUUUGCAUUGUCACUUCCGGGGCAUGAUCGUGCUUCACUGGUGCUUCGUUGGUGCUUAAGGCCCCGCUUUUCUGGCCCGCCGAAAUCGUUGGGCCAAAGCGGGCUUCUCGGGGCUAGGGGAGUGGUAAAGGUCUAAGGCGGAGUUUAUCUGAGUCUCUGGCAAGAUGCGCAUCCAUCUGUCUGCAGAUUUAAAACUUUAAAUAUAACCGGGAUCACCAGUAAUUGACUGUUUCACGGAAGAUGCCUGCUAUGUUUGUACUUCGGACUGAAGAAAAUGAUCUGCAUAUGUAAAAAAAAAAAAAAACACGCGUUACAACGCCGAACUCGCCAUGCUAAGGAUCCGGCGCACACCGCUACCGGUUCGGGAGAAGUUUAUAAAGUUUCGGGCACAGAACAAAGUGUUUAAAGUGCAACAGUGCUGAGAAAUUAAAGAUGUGUGUUGAAUCAUCAUUUCAUCGUCCAUCACUCCAUGUAUUAAAGCGAUCGAGUCACGAUGGUAUCUACAGUCGAAAAAUGCCAACGUAAAGCUUUCAGUUUGUCAUCCAGGAGAUUUUAUUUUGUAUAUGAGAGAUGACACAGCAACAAAUGCAAGAGUAGGUGAUGAAACGAAGAUGAUGAUGAUGAUGAGACGACAGGAGCCAUGGAUGUUGAAAUCAGUCCGGAGGAGAUGUCUUUAAAUACACUGUUUGUGCACUGAUAUAAACUUCAUAUGUAAAUAAAGUACCGCGUUAUUACUACGGCUGCUUGUCAGUUUAUUGAAAAUGAUUGCUUAAUAAUCACAUCUGAAACACAGAAAUGGUAAGAUGCCACAAAAUGGUAAAUAUAACCAUCAUUAACUUAACCACUGUAACAUAGCUUUUUAAAUACAUGUGAGUAUAUUCAGAGUUGAUUCUUAACGAGUACAUUUUCUAAUGAUUUCUCAAACGUUUUGAUUUUUGAGAUGCAAGUAAAGUGAUUUUCAGUUCUAUUCAGCUAUUCGAGGCAGUUCUUUAUAGACAAAAGUAUUUAUUGAUUGACACAUUAUUGAAAUAGCUAUUAGACAGUUACCUUGUGUUUCAUGUGAUGCUCAACUAUUAACGUUUUCAUGAUUAAAGAUAUCACACCUCUUAUAAUGUGUAAGUAUUUACAUCGCCAUAGAACUAUAAUUACAAACGUAACGUUACAUAUUUAGACACGUGCAUAUUUUAAAAUAAGAUUAUUUUACAUAAAUGUAAAACUAGGACUCCUUAUAUUCUUUAAAAUAUUGUGUAUAGGCAAUAGUAUAAUGGCACAUUAGGUAGAUGAACGCUUUAUUUGUAAUUACCACUUCAUAAAGUUUACUAUUGCUUAUUGAUCUGAUAUUGUCUCGUCGUGAGAUCGCUCGUGUGCAGCCAACAUAAACUUCCAAGAGUAACACCGCGGAUGAAGCAAACAUCUCUAUCUUCUCAUCUUGGCUUUCACCGUGCAAACAGCUGCCUCAGUCAUUUUUCAUUAUGUGUGUUGUAUGAUGAUGCGAUCUAACUCCCGUCUCCUGUCAGAUUGAAGUGACUUCCUCACGGUAAAACAGGCGGAGUUGUGUGACGUUACAUCCAGGUAGGCGUAUUAAGGGCGGGGUUUUCUGAACCGCUGCGGCGCUAUUGGCUUGACAAUGCAAACGCGUCGUGAUUUUGGCUACACAGCUGGAGGUCUGAGGCUAUUGGCUCCGUGAGGCCCGUUUGAAGCCCUGGCUCGCACAUGCCCGAUAGUGCAAAAGCGGCUAUUGUUUCCCACAACGACACGAGUCAUCAGCCGUUUUCUCAAGGUCACGUCAGAGGGGUGAUGAUGUGGAGAAGGCAGACCAGACCACCACCAUACGCGAAGAUGAGCCUUGAGGCUUGACAGUUAUUUUUUCAAACUGAGGAGUUCGGACUCCGGACCGUCAUUUCUGCUUGUUUGUACCCUGAGAUAACCAUGGUUAAUAAAUGGUCAGACACGUCACUGGCUUUAAAAUAUAAACCCCAUUGAUGCAAAAAGAUGCUGCAUGGAAUGACAAUGUGGUUUGGAACAGACUUGGUGAAGAACAUGGAAACAUCUCUUAAUAAAAUGGCCCCAAACAUCAUCAGGAGUGCAAAAGAAGGAAGUAAAAACAUCUCUACGCCAAUCUCAUUGGAGAGGAAACCACAGAAGGUCUGGUGAGGAAUGCUGCACUUAUGUUAUUGCAAGCAUUAUUUCAAGAAAAUCCCAGCUUCCUUUACUGUGUAAAUAGUGAACCCAAAGGUCCCACACCAACCAUAGUGUUCAACGGCUCUCCUGAUCUUUUCAAAUCUGAAUGUAUCAACUUUAUAAUGGACAAUGUGAACUUAAUAUGUGGAAGAAAUUGACAUCACAGGCUGUGGAAUGACUGUGUCGCAGGUCGGAGAAGCGGACCGCCCCUGUCGCGGAUCACGCUCCUCCUAGUUACACCUCGAGGAGGUCCCAAAGCACCCCAAUGACCAGACAAACCAGAGGUAAGUAAAAUAUAGAAAUAGAAACUUUAUUUAAAUUAUUUAAAACUAAAGUGGGGAAUGGGAAAGGGAAUCUAAAAAUCUCGCUUCUCGCCCUCAGGGGGAGUAUUACGGGGCCAGGGAUGUUGGAGGGGUUUCCACGUGACUCCAGCUGGAACACCGCUACAGAGCGUAUCUGGGUGGGUUGGGCACACACCGUCGCGGCGGCCCCUGAUGGCAUCCACAAAGGUCCAAGACCCUCCUAAGAUGAGUACGGACGACAAGGACACAGCACAACACUUCAAUAAAGCUUUGUGUAUUUCCGUUUCAAGAGGUUCUUACUUGACUGUUGAACAGUGUUUCUUCUCUCUCCACAGCUCCUAGCCGUAGCAGAACUACGUAUUUCAGCACCCGAAGGACUAACAACCCAGCCGGCAUCUGCAGCGUAUAUCCAACGCGAUCAAACUUCACUCUGACAAGUAACUUCCUAUACACAACCACGCCGUCCUUUCGGCCGGACCAGCCCCGCACUCUUUCCGCCCGCUACCUAGCGGUCGCCGGAUCAGCAGAGCCUGCGGACUCUUCGGAGGCUGGUCUUCGUUGUGCUGCCCAAGGCGGAAGUUGACUCGCCCGAAAAUCGACCCUUCCAGUAACUUCUACCUUCUCUCUUUAUAUCCUCCUCCCAGGCGUGGCUCGCCCAACCAUCGCUCGCCACGUCACUCACACAGCUGUGCCUUGUUUCAGCAAGUGAGGGGAUUCCCGGGGAACCCUGAAGUGCCGGUGUCUGUACAAACCGGGCCGGGCGAAACCUCUUCACUCUCCUUUUGGUUCCGCCCCGCAUAGUCACUCCGUGACAACUGUUUGCGUUUUUUUUUCUCCUCAAUGUUCAAUACCCUUUGCCAUUAAUCACACAGUGACUUUAAUUUAUAAAAUAUAUGCUUAAGUUUUAAUACCUGUACAAAACAAAUGUACAAUCAACUUGUGUAAAUUGUCAUUCUAUUUAAUAGAUUGUUCAUGAAUUGUCUUUAAAUGCAUUGUGAUUUCGGUAACACUUUACAAUAAAGUUCAUUAGUUAACAUUAGUUAAUGUAUUAACUAACUUGAACAAACCAUAAGCAAUACAUUUGUUACAGUAUUUAUACAUCUUUGUUAAUGUUAGUUAAUAAGAAUUUAAGCUUUAAUUGCUUGUUCAUGUUAGUUCAGAGUGCAUUAACUAAUGUUAACAAGAUUUUAAUAAAGUAAUUGUUGAAAUUAACAUUAACAAAGAUUAAUAAAGGCUGUAUAAGUGCAGUUCAUUAUUAGUUCAUGUUAACUUAUGUAGCUAACUAAUGUUAACUAAUGAACCUUAUUGUAAAGUGUUACCGUGAUUUCUUUUCAUAAUUUCAGACACAUGUAAAAGUUACUAAAAAUUAAUACUGCAUAUACUGUACAGUAUCUAUGCGUAAGGGAAAUAACAAAAUUUGUAAUGUAUAG